rnacentral:rRNA from 1 species
UAAACCGCUUUCGCCUGUGACGAAGCGUGAGUGACGGUAAUGGGUAAAGAAGCACCGGGCUAACUACGUGCCAGCAGCCGCGGUGAUACGUAGGGUGCGAGCGUUGUCCGGAUUUAUUGGGCGUAAAGGGCUCGUAGGUGGUUGAUCGCGUCGGAAGUGUAAUCUUGGGGCUUAACCCUGAGCGUGCUUUCGAUACGGGUUGACUUGAGGAAGGUAGGGGAGAAUGGAAUUCCUGGUGGAGCGGUGGAAUGCGCAGAUAUCAGGAGGAACACCAGUGGCGAAGGCGGUUCUCUGGGCCUUUCCUGACGCUGAGGAGCGAAAGCGUGGGGAGCGAACAGGCUUAGAUACCCUGGUAGUCCACGCUGUAAACGGUGGGUACUAGGUGUGGGGUCCAUUCCACGGGUUCCGUGCCGUAGCUAACGCUUUAAGUACCCCGCCUGGGGAGUACGGCCGCAAGGCUAAAACUCAAAGGAAUUGACGGGGCCCCGCACAAGCGGCGGAGCAUGCGGAUUAAUUCGAUGCAACGCGUAGAACCUUACCUGGGUUUGACAUGGAUCGGGAGUGCUCAGAGAUGGGUGUGCCUCUUUUGGGGUCGGUUCACAGGUGGUGCAUGGCUGUCGUCAGCUCGUGUCGUGAGAUGUUGGGUUAAGUCCCGCAACGAGCGCAACCCUUGUUCACUGUUGCCAGCACGUUAUGGUGGGGACUCAGUGGAGACCGCCGGGGUCAACUCGGAGGAAGGUGGGGAUGACGUCAAGUCAUCAUGCCCCUUAUGUCCAGGGCUUCACGCAUGCUACAAUGGCUGGUACAGAGAGUGGCGAGCCUGUGAGGGUGAGCGAAUCUCGGAAAGCCGGUCUCAGUUCGGAUUGGGGUCUGCAACUCGACCUCAUGAAGUCGGAGUCGCUAGUAAUCGCAGAUCAGCAACGCUGCGGUGAAUACGUUCCCGGGGCUUGUACACACCGCCCGU